GUGGCUUUUGCUGGGGUCUGGGCAAUGAGAAAGUUCGGAGCACUUUGGUAUGGGGCAAGAGAGAAAGAAGGAAAUUCUUCGCACAGAGCGCACGGAGACGGUUGCUUGAUAAAGAAGUCGCUGGGGCGGUCUCCUAGGUAGUCUCCCAUUGUAUCAGAGACUCUUUCCCAAGAAGACCCACACCUGGGCAGGAACCAUCCUCUUAGUAUCCAUUUUAACAGAAGGAAGACUGUAGAGUAAAAGAGUACUUCAAUAGUCUAAGCAAGAAAUUAGAAAAAAAUUUUUUUAAGGAUAAGAAAUUUGCUGCCUCCUGGAAUCCAGAGACUGUUCUUCUUGUGGAAGAUGCCAUGGAGAUGCCCGUGGAGACUGAAUGCUGCUCCAGGAGUUCCUGAGUAAAACUGAAUGUGCAGAACUGAACUUUGGGGGUUGAAUACAUUUGUUUAUAUGUGCUUUGUUGUACCACAGGGGACUUCCCCCUAUUUGUUUGUGUUCGUGAUUCUCUUUUGUUUCCUUAUCCCCAAUUUGUUGUAUUUUCCCUGUGUAAAAUUGUAUGUACCUUAAUUUAAUUAUGUUUAAAAUGAUCCAUUGGGGAAACUGGUCUCCCAAAGGAUCUCAGGGGGAUUUGUGCAGAUGGAAAAUUAGCAACACCUGAGCUACCUUCCCAGUGUCCUUUUAAGUUACAUCCUCAUUUUAUGUAAGGAUCCUUUGGAGAUAAAUUUGGCUGAGACCCAUCUGCAGGGCUCUUUUCUCGGGGCUUGUGCUUUUGGUAAAGUACUUCAGGUGUGAAUCUCUGACUCUCUUGGCUCUGCUCACUUGACUGAAAAAAAGCUUUUUUCUUUACCCUUUCUUUUGAUUUAGUAUUAAAAAUCCUAUAUAUUUUUAAA